GGGAGGCAUCAACACAAACGCCACAGAUGGAGGAAUAUUUGUCAAGUCACUGUACCCCAAUGGCCCAGCUGACCUGGAUGGAUGCAUUCAAGUUGGACAUAAAAUUCUUUCAGUUAGUGUAGUUAUUCUUUAAAUUGACGUCAAAAUAAGAAAUUUCAGCACAAUCUUAGCAUGCGCAAACUAGCAAACUCUUUGCCAGCUUCGUGUUGACCACGCAGAAAAAACAAUAAAUAAGGGACGUCUGGACUCUGGAACUGACGUCCAAUAAGUAACUGUUCAGUUU